AUUGUGCACGUCUUCUGUCUAUACUGUUAAAGCAGUGGAUAUUUUUUCAUGUUUACAUAUUGGCCCCAUUCACUUCAGUUGUACUGUAAAUGUUUCACUUGUAACACAAUUUGAAAUUUUCUCUGUACAGAAAAUGAGGAAUAAUUGCAUACUAAUUUUUGCACUAAUCCUACCAAAAAAGUGCUCGACUGAGCCUAACUUAUAGUGGACCCGAAACAUUCCUUUAAGAAAACCAGAGAAGCACGUCUCGUGGCAUUGUGAAAGUUUUUUCCAACAUUAUACCACACUCAAACCUGCUAAUAUAUCUUUAAAGGAUAAUGUUUAAGAAAUUGGGCCAUUAAAUUUGCCAAAAGAUGAUAGACGGGAAGCAUAUAUUUGCAUAAAUUCUCACCCGCUUGACGGUAAGCUGGGAACAUGCUGGUCGUAGUGAUGGAACUGUGAAUCUUAACCAUGUCUCACUGCAACUGGGCUGUGUUAGCUCAGCCUUUGUGCUUCAGACUUGUUUGUGCCAAACAGAGGGAAGCAUGACAUGGCGUUGGCUCCGCCCUCGACGUUGCGCACCUGAGAGUGGUGGCUGAUUUUGGUGUAUUUGUGAUAGCCACCUGCAAGAGAUUAGGCAGAUAGUGGAGUUUCGGACCAGGAAUGGGCAGCUGCUGGACCUAAUUAAAAGCACAGUAACAAAAACUCUUGCAGUCACACAUCAAAGGUCUCAGACGACGUACGUCUGCAAGCUCAUCUCUGGGGUGUAAGAACCUGAUGUGACUGAAACCAGUUGCAUGCUGGGCCACAAGCCUGACCCCUGGUCCAGCAGCUCGGUCGGGGCCUGGCUUACCUGUGCCGUGCUGGCGAAAGGUGAUGCGCUUCAUCUGUGUUUGCGUAGCAACUCCGACCUGGAGUGCAGAGAGACAGAGAGCAGAGGUCUAACCGAAGCACUAUAAACAUGUCCAUGGUAUGCUGUCUAUAGUAGCGGAUUUGAGAAUGGAGUUAAGGGGGUAUGAAAGAGUGUGAUGCAAGCUGAGGAGAACAGAAAGCCGGUCUCGGCUAUUGUUGGAGAAUCCCACAGAGGUAAUCGAUUGGCCAGCCACAGGUAGGCAGUCUGAAGAACAUCUGUGUGAACUGCCAAACGUCAACUGACUGCAAAACACCUAAACACUAAACGCAGAUAUAAAUUCAUACACACACUCCUAUAUUAACCUCACUGUUUACCAGAGAGAGAAAUGCUUAUAGAAAAAGACAUUCUGUUCAACUUAGAAAAUAGUUUUUGAAAGAAAAAAAAGAAAGAAGGGCAUUUCUUUUCCCCGCCGGAGUUGAUUUGCUACCUCAUUAGGCCACAAAAUGGUAUCAGAUCCGUCCAUCAUGCUCGCAGCAUCCAGCAGUGGUUGAUCUCAGAGACUCUACUGUCCAUUUCAUUCAAAUCCCCCCUCUCGCUGAACAACAUGUUCUCGCUCUGUCUUUCGGUCUCUGGCCAUGUACAGUAACUGCCGCUGAGCGUGUGCCAACUGUGUUUGAUCAGAUGUCA
rnacentral:lncRNA from 1 species